GCCUAACACAUGCAAGUCGAGGGGUAACAGGAGAUUGCUUGCAAUCUUGCUGACGACCGGCGCACGGGUGCGUAACGCGUAUAGAACCUACCUUAUAUUGGGGGAUAGCCCAGAGAAAUUUGGAUUAAUACCCCAUAGUAUGCUGAAUUGGCAUCAGUUUAGUAUUAAAGAUUUAUCGAUAUAAGAUGGCUAUGCGUUCUAUUAGCUAGUUGGUAAGGUAACGGCUCACCAAGGCGACGAUAGAUAGGGGUCCUGAGAGGGAGAUCCCCCACACUGGUACUGAGACACGGACCAGACUCCUACGGGAGGCAGCAGUGAGGAAUAUUGGACAAUGGAGGCAACUCUAAUCCAGCCAUGCCGCGUGCAGGAAGACUGCCCUAUGGGUUGUAAACUGCUUUUAUAGAGGAAGAAACCGCUCUACGUGUAGAGCUCUGACGGUACUCUACGAAUAAGGAUCGGCUAACUCCGUGCCAGCAGCCGCGGUAAUACGGAGGAUCCAAGCGUUAUCCGGAAUCAUUGGGUUUAAAGGGUCCGUAGGUGGAUUAAUAAGUCAGAGGUGAAAUCCUGCAGCUCAACUGUAGCACUGCCUUUGAUACUGUU
rnacentral:rRNA from 1 species